rnacentral:rRNA from 1 species
CCUACGGGACGCAGCAGUGGGGGAUAUUGCACAAUGGGGGGAACCCUGAUGCAGCGACGCCGCGUGGGGGAAGACGUGCCUCUGGAUUGUAAACCACUUUCCCCAGGGACGAAGAUGACGGUACCUGGGUAGGAAGCUCCGGCUAACUACGUGCCAGCAGCCGCGGUAAUACGUAGGGGGCGAGCGUUGUCCGGAAUUACUGGGUGUAAAGGGAGCGUAGGCGGGGAUGCAAGUUUGGGGUCAAAACUACCGGCUCAACUGGGAGUCUCACUCAGAACUUCAGCUCUU